rnacentral:rRNA from 1 species
UACGUAGGGACCAAGCGUUGUCCGGAAUCAUUGGGCGUAAAGAGCGUGUAGGCGGCUUGUUAAGUCUUGCGUGAAAUCUCGGGGCUCAACCCCGAGCGGUCGUGAGAAACUGGCAGGCUGGAGUUCGGUAGGGGAGACUGGAAUUCCUGGUGUAGCGGUGAAAUGCGCAGAUAUCAGGAGGAACACCGGUGGCGAAGGCGGGUCUCUGGGCCGAUACUGACGCUGAGGAGCGAAAGCGUGGGGAGCGAACAGG